UUUUCGCAAUGCCCGAAAGGGUGACGAAGCGACGCCGCGUGGGUGAGGAAGGCCCUCGGGUUGUAAAGCCCUGUCAGGAGUUAAGAAAUGUAAGUGCGCUAAUAUCGCAUUUAUUUGACGAAGGCUCCAAAGGAAGCCACGGCUAACUCUGUGCCAGCAGCCGCGGUAAUACAGAGGUGGCAAGCGUUGUUCGGAAUUAUUGGGCGUAAAGAGCACGUAGGUGGGUUUGUAAGUCAGAUGUGAAAGCCUUCUGUUCAACGGAAGAAUUGCAUCUGAAACUACGAGUCUUGAGUGUAGGAGGGGAGAAUGGAACUUCUGGUGGAGCGGUGAAAUGCGUAGAUAUCAGAAGGAACGCCGGCGGCGAAAGCGAUUCUCUGGCCUAUUACUGACACUCAGUGUGCGAAAGCUAGGGGAGCAAACGGGAUUAGAUACCCCGGUAGUCCUAGCCGUAAACGAUGGGCACUAAGUAGAGGGGUUUUAA
rnacentral:rRNA from 1 species